GACGUAGGGCGCGAGCGUUGUCCGGAUUUAUUGGGCGUAAAGAGCUCGUAGGCGGUGCGUCGCGUCGGCCGUGAAAACCUGCAGCUUAACUGUGGGCUUGCGGUCGAUACGGGCAUCACUGGAGUUCGGCAGGGGAGACUGGAAUUCCUGGUGUAGCGGUGAAAUGCGCAGAUAUCAGGAGGAACACCGGUGGCGAAGGCGGGUCUCUGGGCCGAUACUGACGCUGAGGAGCGAAAGCGUGGGGAGCGAACAGG
rnacentral:rRNA from 1 species